UACGUAGGGUGCGAGCGUUAAUCGGAAUUACUGGGCGUAAAGCGUGCGCAGGCGGUUCGUUAAGUCAGAUGUGAAAGCCCCGGGCUCAACCUGGGAACUGCAUUUGAAACUGGCGGGCUUGAGUAUGGCAGAGGGGGGUGGAAUUCCGCGUGUAGCAGUGAAAUGCGUAGAUAUGCGGAGGAACACCGAUGGCGAAGGCAAUCCCCUGGGCCUGUACUGACGCUCAUGCACGAAAGCGUGGGGAGCAAACAGG
rnacentral:rRNA from 1 species